rnacentral:rRNA from 1 species
UACGUAGGCAGCGAGCGUUGUUCGGAGUUACUGGGCGUAAAGAGUGCGUAGGCGGUUUUCUAAGUUUGGUGUGAAAUCUCCUGGCUUAACUGGGAGGGUGCGCCGAAGACUGGAAGGCUUGAGUAUGGGAGAGGUAAGCGGAAUUCCUGGUGUAGCGGUGAAAUGCGUAGAUAUCAGGAGGAACACCUGCGGUGUAGACGGCUUACUGGACCAUAACUGACGCUGAGGCACGAAAGCGUGGGUAGCAAACAGG